GUGGGAGGGUGACGACCUCUACCCACCAACCCCACCAGCCUCUCACCAUUGAGCCAGCGGGAGUCGUGUGGCUCUGUUCGGAGACUUGGACGUUGCCCUAGGCUGCGAAAGAUGAGGGAGAAGUGCUACCCAGGAGACCCAAGACCUGGGCAGAAGCCUCAGCCUCUGACUUGGGGACUGCUCCCAACCCAGCUGAAGCAGCCUCUGCAUUUGAGCUUGAGGGCUCUCUCUCCACACCCCUGAGGAAUCAAAGAGGGGCAAGGUUCUAGAGGUCUUCCAGGCCAACACUGGCUGCCUUCUCACACUCCACCGAGGACUUCCGCAGCAGCAUCUCUCCACUCUGGCCCCUUCCCACCCUGGGGCCGCUGGGGACCCUCUGACGGCUCCUUUAAGAAGCAGCCCCCGCCCCCACCAGGCCAGCCACCGCCCCACGCACCGCCCGCCGUGCCGUAAAGUUUAGAGGGCGGAUCGGGUGACCGGGCAGGCAGCCGGGACCAGCUGGAGACGGCAGCCAGGCGGGAGUGGAAUGGGCACAAGGGAGGGGCUGGUUGGAGGUGGGAGGAACAACCCCCACCAAACCCAGAGCCGAAAACUGAGGGAGUUUUACAGACAGGACGGAGCUCCUGCACCUCGGAGCCUCAGUUGGGAAUGACCUGGGGUCUUGUCCUGAAGCUGAGUCUGGUGAACGUGCCCCAUUUGUAACAUGAGGGGUACUUCUCUGGAGGGACUGUAUGUUGACAGUGGCAGAGUGGAGCCCUGAAGUCCACCUGAGUGAAUAUACCAGGGCUUGAGAAUGGGCUUUGAUCCUUCCAUCCCCGCAAAAGGCAUUUUCCUACCACCUCCCAAGGCUGAUGGGGCAGUGUGGGCAUUUCAAGUGUUGCAGUUCUGUUGCCCAGCCCUGGAUGCCUCCAGCCAAGCAAGGACAGAGGUGGGGGGCACAUCUCCAAGUCCCCUGGAAGUGGAAGUGGGGCUAUGCCCCUCCUUCCUGAGCCUGAGGACCUGGUAUACCUGGCCUGGCCUGGCCAGCUGGCAGGUAAAUAACAGGGGCCAGUGGGAGCCGCAGGGCCCUUCAGGAGGGCAAGUGGAAGGACAGAUCCCUGCCUGGGCUCGUGGGCUUCCUGGAUGUGGCCUUUUCCUACUCCAGGAGUAGCUGCCUCUAGCCUUAGAGGACCUGGGCAGGCUCUCCUGGCUCCAUGCAAGCAGACAACAUUCUUUGGCUGUUUACAGCUUUCCACCCAAGCAGCCAGGAUCAGCAAGUGCCUCAGAGGCUCCCAUCCACUCCCACUGUGCCCCCAUAGGCCCUCACUGCCUUAUGUUUUUCCAGGCCCAGGGGCCCUGUCUCUGUUUCAUCACCCCGCACCUUCCUCCACCUGUGUUCACUCUGGGAAACGGUAUCAGAAACCCCCCCGCCACCGCCAUUAUCUUUCCAAUAGCCUGGGAGUCAACCCCCAGCCAAAAGGACUAGACUGUCUCUGUCCCCAUUGAGUGCUGUGCCCUGUCCUCUGUCCUCUAGAUGUGUACCCUCCCUUGAGUAGGAAUGGAGGUCUCCAGGGAUGGGAGGUCAAGUUGUCCCUGAUUCCACAUGGUCCCCUUUCUGUUCCUCAGCCCCAGGUCCAGUGUGCCAGGCCAUGGGUAGGGGCCCCCAUGGAGGUCAGCACUCCAGGAGCAAGGUCACUGCCUGUGGGUCACACUGGGGGCUGGAACUCCUCGAGGAUUCUGGAAUCAGGCAGCCUGAGCCUGAGUCUCAACAGAAUGGGGCAAACCAGGCAAGGCAGCUGGGGUCCCUUUUCCUGCCUGUACUCCUACCCUGGACCUCUCUCUUUUGAGGGAGCUUCCAUGGGCAGAGACCUGCCUGGGUCCUUGCUCUGGGGCUGCCUGUCAGUGGCAUGGCCUACCACGGCCUUGGCUUUUCCUUCUGGAAAAACCUGGAUUGUUGUGCCAAAUCUCAGCACCUGCCUCCCCACCCCUGGCCACCAGCUGGGCCUGCCCCUUUGCCCCUGCCUGGACUCCGGGUGGUGUGGUUGGGGUGGGACACCCAUCUGAGGAAGGUUGUGGCAACCCUCCCAGUGCAGCCUGGACUGGAUGGGAUCUUGGGCGCCCCACUCACACCUGCUUUAGUCAUCAGGGCUUGUGGCUCCAACGUCACAACUCUUCCUUGUUCUGGCCACGUAGGUACCAGGUCAUGCUGCCCAGAGGACUUAGGCACAGUGGGGGCAGGCGUGGGCGGCCAUAGGAUCAUCACCUGAGGCCUAACUUCCCAGACACUCUAAGGCCCUGCCCCAGGGGCAUCUCCUGGGGAAGCGUCUGCAGGCAUGUCCUCACCCCAGCCUGGUCUCCACAUUCCCAGGGAACCCUGGCCCACCUUUUUUGAAAGAUUAGCUCCUCCCCUCCUUGCCUGUUCCCCUUCCCUUCUGAGGGCCCUGUCAGAACUGAGAUGGAGGUGCUGAGGGAGGGGCUACCAAGAACCCUGGGCCUUUGGCUGUGGCCCUACCCCCGCCUGCCCCACCCCUGCCCUCCCCUCCUGCACAUUCCUCCCAGGCUGAGGUCAGCCCUUCUGGGAUGCGGGAGCCCCCCCAACCAGCCACAUCACAGCUCUUCCCUCACUCCUGUUUUCCUCAUUGCCCAGCAGGGAGGAGUGGGAGGAGAGGGGGCUGGGGGCGGGGCCUCCCUCUCCCUCCCUCCUCUGGAGCCCGGCAGGGUGGAGGGGGCUAUGCCAGGAAUGCUGGAAAGUGGACUCUGAGGGCACACUGCA
rnacentral:lncRNA from 1 species